rnacentral:rRNA from 1 species
CCUACGGGUGGCAGCAGUGAGGAAUAUUGGUCAAUGGGAGAGAUCCUGAACCAGCCAAGCCGCGUGAGGGAAGGCGGCCCUAUGGGUUGUAAGCCUCUUUUGUCGGGGAACAAAACCCUGGUCGUGUACCGAGCUGCGUGUGUCCGAAGAGAAAGCAUCGGCUAACUCCGUACCAGCAGCCGCGGUAAUACGGAGGAUGCGAGCGUUAUCCGGAGUUAUUGGGGUUAAAGGGGGCGUGGGCGGUCCGUGAAGUCAGUGGUAAAAUUGCGGGGCUCAACCCCGUAGAGCCGUUGAAACUGGCAGACUUGAGUUGGCGAGAAGUACGCGGAAUGCGCGGUGUAGCGGUGAAAUGCGUAGAUAUCGCGCAGAACUCCGAUUGUGAAGGCAGCGUACCGGCGCCAGACUGACGCUGAGGCACGAAAGCGUGGGGAUCGAACAGGAUUAGAUACCCAAGUAGUC